GCGCCUAUCGCUGACGUCAGGCCGCAGACGGUGCAUGGUGGCCUCCUUACCGGUGAAGUUAGCAUUAGCAUUAAACUACCUUUAACGUUAGCGUCAGCCUAGCUUAGCUCCGGGCGCAUUGUUGAACGAGCGCCGUGCUAACUAGUUAACGUUUAAACAACUUCACUUCCCUCCCCCCCCCUUUUCUGUCUAUUUUUUUUUCAUCUUUGGAAGCAGAACCACGAUAAAGCUGAAGGUCUUUUAGGAAAGAUCGUGUUUCUCCACCCCACCCUUUCAACAUUAUUCUUUUUUGAGUGUCAUUCGUUGUCAAGCCGCCAAAGUGGAGAGUGUGGUUGCAGAGGGGGGUGCUUCUCGUUUCAGUGCUUCUUCGGGAGGAGGAGGAGGAGG